rnacentral:rRNA from 1 species
GAUGAACGCUGGCGGCGUGCCUAAUACAUGCAAGUCGAGCGGCAGCACGGUCUUCGGACUGGUGGCGAGCGGCGGACGGCUGAGUAACGCGUAGGAACAUGCCCUAAAGUGAGGAAUAACUGCCCGAAAGGGUGGCUAAUGCCGCAUGUGCCCUUCGGAGUAAAGCUUUAUGCGCUUUAGGAGUGGCCUGCGUCCGAUUAGCUAGUUGGUGAGGUAAAUGCUCACCAAGGCGACGAUCGGUAGCUGGUCUGAGAGGAUGAUCAGCCAGACUGGAACUGAGAACGGUCCAGACUCCUACGGGAGGCAGCAGUAGGGAAUUUUCCACAAUGGGCGAGAGCCUGAUGGAGCAACGCCGCGUGCAGGAUGAAUGCCUUCGGGUUGUAAACUGCUUUUAUGUGCGAAGAAUUUGACUGUAACGCAUGAAUAAGGAUCGGCUAACUACGUGCCAGCAGCCGCAGUAACAC